rnacentral:rRNA from 1 species
CACGUAGGGCGCAAGCGUUGUCCGGAAUUAUUGGGCGUAAAGAGCUCGUAGGUGGUUUGUUACGUCUGCUGUGAAAACCUAGGGCUUAACCCUGGGCUUGCAGUGGAUACGGGCAGACUAGAGGUAGGUAGGGGAGAAUGGAAUUCCUGGUGUAGCGGUGAAAUGCGCAGAUAUCAGGAGGAACACCGGUGGCGAAGGCGACAUCCUGGACCGGUAUUGACGCUGAGGCGCGAAAGCCAGGGGAGCAAACGGG